GUUAAAAAUGAACAGCUUCAGAUCUAAAGGUAACUUUUCCAAAAAACACCAAAAAGUACAGUGUAAAGCAUCUCCUCAUUAAAUACAAACGUUCAUUUUGUGAUGCACUGCAUCAAUGUUUUUUACACACCUUGAUGCAAAGGGAAAUUUAAGUUGCAUCUUGGAAAAUGAAAUUACAGAUGCAUGAAGAGCAAAAGUUUAAUAUACCAAAGACAUUUUGUUUGAUGCACUUAAUAUCAAUAUUUGGAGGGAUUUUUAAGAUUUAAAAAGAAGGCAUUAAUAACAGCUCUGUACAAUAAUAUUUAAAAGAACAAGAAAAUGAAAACAUCUUUAUACCGUAUUUUCACAAACUGCUCUAA
rnacentral:lncRNA from 1 species